rnacentral:rRNA from 1 species
GUCGAGUGCGCAGCUUCCUGUAGCAAUACAGGGAGUGGGCGCACGGCGUCACGGGUGAGUAACACGUGGGCAAUCUGCCCUCGGAUGGGGGAUAACUCGUCGAAAGGCGAGCUAAUACCGCAUGACAUUCCGAAGACUCCGGUCUUUGGAUUCAAAGGCCGCAAGGCCGUCUGAGGAGGAGCCCGCGCCCGAUUAGCUAGUUGGUGAGGUAACGGCUCACCAAGGCUUUGAUCGGUAGCCGGUCUGAGAGGAUGGCCGGCCACACUGGAACUGAGACACGGUCCAGACUCCUACGGGAGGCAGCAGUGGGGAAUAUUGCGCAAUGGGCGAAAGCCUGACGCAGCGACGCCGCGUGGGGGAUGAAGCUUCUCGGAGUGUAAACCCCUUUCGACCCGGACGAAUGACCCGCAAGGGUCUGACGGUACGGGUAUAAGAAGCCCCGGCUAACUACGUGCCAGCAGCCGCGGUAAUACGUAGGGGGCCAGCGUUGCUCGGAAUUACUGGGCGUAAAGGGUUCGUAGGUGGUGCGGUAAGUUGGAAGUGAAAUCUCUGGGCUUAACCCAGAGGCUGCUUUCAAAACUGUCGCGCUCGAGUGCGAGAGAGGUCAGUGGAAUUGCAGGUGUAGCGGUGAAAUGCGUAGAUAUCUGCAGGAACACCCGUGGCGAAGGCGGCUGACUGGAUCGCAACUGACACUGAGGAACGAAAGCUAGGGGAGCAAACAGGAUUAGAUACCCUGGUAGUCCUAGCCCUAAACCAUCGGAACUUGGGGUGGCCCGCG